UCCUACGGGUGGCUGCAGCAAGGAAUCUUCCGCAAUGGGGGCAACCCUGACGGAGCAACGCCGCGUGGGGGAUGAGGCCCUUCGGGGUGUAAGCCCCCUUUUCGCCGGGAAGAAGCGGGCGUUCGCGCUCGUUGACGGUACCGGCGGAAGAAGGACCGGCUAACUACGUGCCAGCAGCCGCGGUAAUACGUAGGGUCCGAGCGUUGUCCGGAGUUACUGGGCGUAAAGGGCGCGCAGGCGGCGGUGCUGGCCCGGCGUGAAAGCCCCCGGCUCAACCGGGGAAGGGCGUCGGGGACCGCACCGCUUGAGGGCGGUAGGGGCCGGUGGAAUGCCUGGUGUAGUGGUGAAAUGCGUAGAGAUCAGGCGGAACACCUGGGGCGAAGGCGGCCGGCUGGGCCGACCCUGACGCUGAGGCGCGAAGGCGUGGGGAGCGAACGGGAUUAGAUACCCCGGUAGUCCACGCAGUAAACGAUGCCGACUAGGCGUGGGGGGAGUUGACCCCCUCCGUGCCGGAGCCAACGCGGGAAGUCGGCCGCCUGGGGAGUACGGCCGCAAGGCUA
rnacentral:rRNA from 1 species